rnacentral:rRNA from 1 species
ACCCGCUGACUUAGCAUCAUAGCGAGA